CUGAUGCAGCCAUGCCGCGUGUGUGAAGAAGGCCUUCGGGUUGUAAAGCACUUUCAGUUGUGAGGAAAAGUUAGUAGUUAAUACCUGCUAGCCGUGACGUUAACAACAGAAGAAGCACCGGCUAACUCCGUGCCAGCAGCCGCGGUAAUACGGAGGGUGCGAGCGUUAAUCGGAAUUACUGGGCGUAAAGCGCACGCAGGCGGUUUGUUAAGCUAGAUGUGAAAGCCCCGGGCUCAACCUGGGAUGGUCAUUUAGAACUGGCAGACUAGAGUCUUGGAGAGGGGAGUGGAAUUCCAGGUGUAGCGGUGAAAUGCGUAGAUAUCUGGAGGAACAUCAGUGGCGAAGGCGACUCCCUGGCCAAAGACUGACGCUCAUGUGCGAAAGUGUGGGUAGCGAACAGGAUUAGAUACCCUGGUAGUCCACACCGUAAACGCUGUCUACUAGCUGUGUGUGCCUUUAAGNCGUGCGUAGCGAAGCUAACGCGCUAAGUAGACCGCCUGGGGAGUACGGCCGCAAGGUUAAAACUCAAA
rnacentral:rRNA from 1 species